rnacentral:miRNA from 1 species
GUUUUACCACCUCCAGGAGACU